UACGGGGGGGGGCAAGCGUUGUUCGGAAUUACUGGGCGUAAAGGGCUCGUAGGUGGCCAACUAAGUCAGACGUGAAAUCCCUCGGCUUAACCGAGGAACUGCGUCUGAUACUGGAUGGCUUGAGUUUGGGAGAGGAAUGCGGAAUUCCAGGUGUCGCGGUGAAAUGCGUAGAUAUCUGGAGGAACACCGGUGGCGAAGGCGGCAUUCUGGACCAAUACUGACGCUGAGGAGACGAAAGCGGUGGGGAGCGAACAGG
rnacentral:rRNA from 1 species